AUUUUUUUGGUUCGUCCUCGCGAUUCAUCGCUCCGGCCUCCCCUCUGCUCGCGCUUUCCUCACCGCGGCUCCACGCUCCGGCCUACCCUCUGCUCGCGCUUCCCUCCCCGCGGCUCCAACAAAGCGCCCCAAAAUGGUUCCCCGCCGACGCGGAAUCGAGAUCCGUGGCCGGUGGUUGGAGGCCUGUCCGGCGGUCUGCGGGAGGAAGCUAGUGGGGGCACGCCGUCGAGCUCCGGGAGCUGGACGCUCUGGCCGGUGGCGAAGUUCAGGAAGCGGCGUCGGUGGCUUGCGGGGCCGGCGGCGUGACCUCGCAAGAUCCACCGGCCCGGCUCAGGAUGCUGAGGUCAAGGAGCGACGACGAUGGCGGCUUCAGCUUGGCAACACCGCGGGAACCCGGAGCAGACGCGGCGCAGGCAUGGUCUACCUACCUCCACCGACAGGUCAGCCUGCUUUAGCAAGCCACACUGAACACCUCGUUCAUCAAGAUCCAUCUUCCCUCCGCGCGGCCCCUGCAGGUCUGGUUCAUCCACGUCCACGGGAGUCCCAGCAGGUCUGGUUCAUCACACGACCACGGCAGUUCCUGCAGUUCAGGGGAUCAUGGACAGGGGUGUUCAUAUGGUUCGUGAGGAUUUUGACCGCCAAGUGCUGCAGCAGCGGGAAAGCAUGGACCACAGACUCAAGACAAAUCGUGAAGAUAUAGAUCGCAAGGUCCAGACCCAACGUGCAAGCGCCAACCUGCGAAUCCAGGAAGAGCGUGCGGAGAUGGACAAGUUAUUGUUCCAGGAGCGCCAAAACAUGGAUGAGCGCCUGAAGCAUGAGCCAGACAUUAUGGAUCGGAUGUUGAAUGCAGAGCGCUAUGAGAUUGAUUGCAUGAUAGAGCGCGAACGAGUCCAUAUGGAUUUAGGCCUUGUUUAGAUCCAAAAUUUAAAAUUCCAAAAGAAUAUUGCGGUACCUGUAUGGAGAAUUAAAUCUAGACGAAAUAAAAAACUAAUUGCACAGUUUGCUUGUAAAUUGCGAGACGAAUCUAAUGAACCUAAUUAGGCUGUGAUUAGACACCAAAUUGCUACAGUAAAGCUACAGUAAACAUAUGCUAAUGACGGAUUGAUUAGGCUCAUUAGAUUCGUCUCGUAGUUUACAGAUGAGUUCUGUAUUUAGUUUUGUGAUUAGUCUAUGUGUAAUACAUCAAAUGUGAAAAAAUUCUCUUUCAAAAACUUUACACGGUGCAUCUAAACGAGACCUUAGAGAAAAUGAAGUCCCGUGCAAAGAUGGACAGGAAGAUGCAGCAGGAAAAGACUACAAUCGAACACCUAGGACACUACAUCACCUCACCUACAACAGCUUCAGAAGGACACUACAGCACCUCACCUACAGCAGGAAGACUCCGCAUAUUCACCCCCGGCUGUUGUCAUGGAAUUUAGAGUCCAUGUGCGGCGCGGAAUUCCAUUCCAACUAAAAGAAUCAGAGAAAAGAAGGUUGGGCUCCAUGACAUUUGUUGAACCUCUCAAAGUCGAGUGGAAGCCUAUGGUGGACAAUUUGGAAUGUCACGAUACAAAGGGACAACUAAUCUGUACUACCUCAUCCCUGCUACAGAUGGGUUGGUGUUGAUGGAGGGUCCUGCACAAGUAGAACGACUGUUGCAGGAUCAAGAAGGUAGGAAAAUUGGUGAUCUUUACAUCGUCAAACAUGACGACAGUGAUGAAGAUUCGGCCAGCGCAUAUUCCUUCCACGUGGAUUAAAUUGAUCAAUUAGGGAGUCUAGAGUUAUUUCCUUCAAUUUCAGUUUCAAUAAAGAAUUGCAUUGCAAGAACUUGGAACUUGCACAAUUGUAUCACUUUAACCAUUGAUUAGAUUCAUUUAGUUUGUUCUUCCA